GAUUAACGCUGGCGGCGUGCCUAACACAUGCAAGUCGAGCGGCAGCGCGGUUUACACUGACUUCUGGAAGCUUCUAGUGGAGAGAGAAGAUUUAUUCAAGAAUUUUGUGUAAAAUGUCGGCGAGUGGCGGACGGCUGAGUAACGCGUGAGAACGUACCCCAAAGUGAGGGAUAACGCAUCGAAAGGUGUCCUACUAGCGCGUAUGGUCUUCGGAUUAAUGCCGUCGGUCGCUUUGGGAACGGCCUGCGUAAGAUUAGAUAGUUGGUGGGGUAAUGGCCUACCAAGUCGACGAUCGUUAACUGGUUUGAGAGGAUGAUCAGUCAGACUGGAACUGAGACACGGUCCAGACUCCUACGGGAGGCAGCAGUGAGGAAUCUUCCCCAAUGGGCGAAAGCCUGAUGGAGCAACGCCGCGUGAAGGAUGAAGGCCUUCAGGUUGUAAACUGCUUUUAUAAGUGAGGAUUAUGACAGUAACUUAUGAAUAAGGAUCGGCUAACUACGUG
rnacentral:rRNA from 1 species